CUAUGCCAUGCUGAAUAUACCGGUUCUCGUUAGAUCACCGAAGUCAAGCAUCAUUGGGCGCGGUCAGUACUUGGGUGGGUGACCACCUGGGAACACCGCGUGCCGUU
rnacentral:rRNA from 1 species